rnacentral:rRNA from 1 species
UACGGAGGGUGCAAGCGUUAAUCGGAAUUACUGGGCGUAAAGCGUGCGUAGGCGGUUCGUUAAGUCUGUUGUGAAAGCCCCGGGCUCAACCUGGGAAUGGCAAUGGAUACUGGCGAGCUAGAGUGUGUCAGAGGAUGGUGGAAUUCCCGGUGUAGCGGUGAAAUGCGUAGAGAUCGGGAGGAACAUCAGUGGCUAAGGCGGCUCUCUAGUACGGUACUGACGCUGAGACGCGAAAGCGUGGGGAGCGAACAGG